UCUAAUUUGGCAGAAAAGUGCAAUGGAUUUAAGCUCCAUUAAGAAAGUCUAAACUUUAUUUAGAA
rnacentral:tRNA from 1 species